rnacentral:rRNA from 1 species
GACAGAGGUGCCGAGCGUUUAGGCGGAAUCACUGGGCUUAAAGCGUGUGUAGGCGGACUUGUAAGUACCUUGUGAAAUCCCACAGCUCAACUGUGGAACUGCUUGGUAUACUGCUUGUCUUGAGCCACUUAGGGGCAGUCGGAACAGACGGUGGAGCGGUGAAAUGCGUAGAUAUCGGAAGGAACAUCAGUGGCGAAAGCGGCUUCCUGGACCAGUACCGACGUUCAGGCACGAAAGCGUGGGGAGCAAACAGG